UACGUAGGUGGCAAGCGUUGUCCGGAUUUACUGGGCGUAAAGAGCGCGCAGGCGGUCGUUUAAGUCGAAUGUGAAAGCCCCCGGCUCAACUGGGGAUGGUCAUUCGAUACUGAUCGACUUGAAGGCAGGAGAGGGAAGUGGAAUUCCGGGUGUAGUGGUGAAAUGCGUAGAUAUCCGGAGGAACACCAGUGGCGAAGGCGACUUCCUGGCCUGUUCUUGACGCUGAGGCGCGAAAGCUGGGGGAGCAAACGGG
rnacentral:rRNA from 1 species